rnacentral:ncRNA from 1 species
AUCUUCGGGGCGAGGCGAAAAUCCUCACCGGCGGUAAUGCGUUUUCACGCAGAGCCCGCGAGCCUUGAACAGGCUGAUCCGGUGCAAUUCCGGAGCCGACGGUCACAGUCCGGAUGAAAGAAGAU